UACGUAGGGGGCUAGCGUUGUCCGGAUUUAUUGGGCGUAAAGAGCGUGUAGGCGGCCAGGUAGGUCUGCUGUGAAAACUCGAGGCUCAACCUCGAGACGUCGGCGGAAACCAUCUGGCUAGAGUCCGGAAGAGGAGAGUGGGAAUUCCUGGUGUAGCGGUGAAAUGCGCAGAUAUCAGGAAGAACACCCGUGGCGAAGGCGGCGCUCUGGGACGGUACUGACGCUGAGACGCGAAAGCGUGGGGAGCGAACAGG
rnacentral:rRNA from 1 species